rnacentral:pre_miRNA from 1 species
GGCCACUACCUUGCAGUCACGUGAUGAAAAGACACAGGUGACACUGAUCCGGAUUUGGUGGUGGACCCAUUCUCAUUCCGAGAUUAGUUUUAUUUUGCGUCUUUUGAAUUCGAAUAGUUCAUGUGAUGUGACGUAGUGGAACA